CUUCAUUUGCUCUACGUCAGAUGAGAUAACGAAAUGGUCAGCCCCAAGCAGGCUCAGUGCUUCCUCCUUUUUAGAAAUGCUUGUACUGAACACUGUGACUUUCAGGUCCAAAAGCCUUCCCAAACUUAACUGCCAUAUGACCGAGCCCGCCAAGUCCAAUUACACCUAGAGACUUACCAGGUUGGUUCAUCUUGUGACGUAUCAUUGGAGUGUACACCGUGAUUCCAGCACAGAGCAAUGGCGCUGCUAGAUCCAUCGGGUAGUUUUCUGGAAUCCUGAAGCAAUACCUGUCAAUGAAGCACCACCAUUAAGUUUCCAAAUAACACCAAGACAGGAAGUGAUUUCCCAAUAGAAUCAGCAUCCUGUCUUUUUUGUCUAAAAGGAAUCAAAUCACAGAGCCAGAAAUCCUAUCUUCCGCAUGCUAAGGAAUUUUACUUGCUUAGACCACAAUUCAGCAUCAUGUUGUUUCCGUGAUCCUUGUUCUGACCACAAAUUGCUCAAGACAAACAUUUCUUGCUGUAGCAACGAAAAUAAAGCAAUUGCAGCACACCGGAGGCCACACUCGAUUAAAAUUAAGAAAAGUCACUUGCUCUAAGAAAGGAAACUGGUGGCAUAUCACAUAUGCUUGAUUGAACACGUAAUUUCUGUAUUUCCUUCAAUCAAUUUCUCCAAGGGAGUCAAGAUUCCUGUGGCUCUAUCAGAUACAAGAAUUACUGAAAGCACAUACAUUUAGCUACCCAUUUGAUCUGAUACUUAUGAUCUAACUUUAACAAUCUAAGGACAGCUUAUUCCAUUCUUGACGAUGCUUACUGAAAAGAAAGAAUUUCUUUUCGCAUUUAAUAAAGCCAAUUCUCCAUUGAAUGGUUUCAAUGGUAAUUGGAUACAGAGGACUUAAAGACCCUCCAAAGCAGUUAUAGAAAGUAUCUUUAUCCCUUUCCACAUGAUGCAUUAUGCCACUUCUGGUCACAAUCAGAAUACGAAGAAAAUUAGCAGAGAAGAAGACAUGACAUGAAAUCUUUUUUUGGCCACCAUGAUUUGAAAUUCUUUCACAGUGCAAAAUGCUGCCUAAUAACAUUGUGUCAAUAAGCAAUUACCUUUCAUGGACGACAAUGUGACUAGAAUAUCCUCCCUUUGUCACUGUACCGUCCGUAUCGAUUCCGUCAAAAGUCAAAACCAUCUUUUCACAGUGGACUUCUAGCCCGUCAUUGCAAUACUCGCACUCUCUGCAUGAAUUGACAUAAGUUCCCACACCCACAUGAUCGCCAACUUUGAAGCGUUGGACACUGGAGCCAACCUGUUUCACAAUUCCAACUAUCUCGUGCCAAUCAAUCCAAAAAAUCAUUCGCAAAUUUUGUUCAGAGAAUUAUUAGGAUGGUGCUAAGAAAAAAGAUUAACAUUCGAAUCACGCUGCAUCCUACCCUGGCACCAGAGGAUACUUGGAGCGUCCCGACAUAUUCCUAGUCCAACCCACAUCUGCAUAGCACACUCCACAGUGCGUGAUCCUAAUCGAGACGUCAUCGCUUCCCACGGUCCUAAAGAGAGAAUUCCCAAACAGGUGAGCAUCUAAUCAAGCAACUAAUCAGACUCAGUUACCUUUUGUUCUCAUUUUCCAGAUCAAUAAACUAAGCGUGGCUUACAAUAAUCAUACAUUCAACCCAAAGCAAAAUUUAAGAAAAGAGAAAUGAAAAGGAACCAAAUCCAAGACUAUAGCAUUUGUCUGAAUAGUACAUACAACCUCAAAUGCUCACAAAGGCAGCACCUGAAUCCUAAUGUCUGCCAUGAAGUUCUAAGCAACUCAUUCUGGGACAUGACAUCUCAUGCGUACGAACAAUUCUCUACCCAGAAAUUAGUGCAUACACAACAAAAUUUAUAAAAGCAAAACGAAAUGGUUUGGUUAAUGUGGAAAUUUAAAUAUAUGACAAGCAUCAAAAACUGUUUUGCAUUACAGGUGAGAGGAUAAGACCUGAGAACACUGUAUUGAGAUUAUUCAGACAAAUACUUCAAUAGAAAUUGAAAGUAUAAGGAGCAGAUGAAUUAAAUAAAGAACAAUGGUAACAGUAAUACCUGCGGCUGAAUUUGUAGGGGGAGAGACGUCCAGAAGGAUCUCUGGCAGCCCAACCAAGACAAUCUUCCUUCGCACCCUCUGAACUCAUCGUUCCUCAACGACCUCAACUGAAAUCGACCCACAAAAAAAUUGCUGCGUUAAUCUCUCAAUAAGCUGAAUUAUGGAAGAAGAAGAAGAAUUAUUUUCGUGAAAGAGAAAUGAAGAAGAGAAUUUCAAACCGAAAAACAGAAGUUCAAAUGGUCAAAAGGCCAAAUGUCACGAAGACUUGGCAAUUCCGUUUCCGUGCAGACAGGAUUUUGCUGUCUGACUUUUGAGCAAAGAGCGAGAUUGAUUAGCAGAGAACGAGGUUGAGCGCUCAAAAACCGUCACCUCUUUAUAGAUGCCAUAGCGUCGCCUGUUCUUGAUUUUUUUUUUCGUUUUAUCUUGUGGAAAAGAAUUAGUGCCAAACGUAAGCCAUUACCUUUCCCAGUAACGUCUUCUGGAGUACGGUUCUUGGUAUUUGCGGAAAUGUGUGUUUGAUGUGUGUGUAAGUGUGUUUUGUGUGUGAACUAUCAAGAGAGCAAAAGAACUAAAAAACGAUGUGAGGAAGAAAUAGUUGGACAAAAUAAUAAUGAGAAUGUGUAAAAGACAAUAAGGCUGAGGCGGUGAAGGAGAGAAACUUGAAUGAAAGUCAACAAUAGUGGCUGAAGAUGAAACUAGUAUGUGGACAGAAAGAGUAUUUGGAGAAGAAAAUGAGUUGUCUUGUAGCUGUACUGCGGCAGUGAAAAAGUGAAAAAUGUCAUGUCGGUUGUAAUUGCCUAUAUAGGCUUAUCAUAUGCUGUGUGAGGUGAACCCUUCACCUUGUGUGGGGUGACCCCUCCACUGUGAGAGGUCUUAGACCUCCACCAUGACCAUAUGAAGAGUGACUAUCAACACCUCCAUUAAAUUAUUUUGUCUUCUUCAAUAAGUUCUUGACAGCUGGAGUUUGAUGAAGAAACUUUGAUUCAUGCUUCUAUUUCUCAUGCACGUAGACUUCUUUAGCCUGUUCUAGGAUUUCUUCUUCAACUUGGCUUUUUCUUACUUGCAUUCCCAUGUGAAUCUUUUAGGUUCAGCUAGCAACCAUCAUUCUCAACAAGUCUAAACAAUCUUCAACAUGGAUGCUGCUACCAACGUUUAUUAAUUUUUAGACAGUUUUAGAGAAAAUGAAUUAUAAUUUCCAACAUAUAGUAUUUUGGAGAAAAAAGUAUUUCAGCAUAACUGUGCAAGGAUUUGUAGAUCACUACAACAUCACCGGAGGCAAAUAAUUAUCCGUCAUUGACAUGAACGAUAUAGAAAAAAUUCUUUUAAUCAUUUACCUUAGUUUAGCAAGAUCUGCUUAAACGACAGCCUUGAGUAUCUUCAAUUCCUUUUCUCUUGCCUUCAAAAAGAUAUUGAAAUGCGACACGGAAUAUCAAGACAGAUUGUCAUUGACAAAGCCGUAAAAGCCUACUCGAUCUGGCAAAACUGGGGACUGUUCUUUCCAACGAUCUUGACCACCUCGGCAGCUGCUGUGCAAAUGGAUAGGAAUGCAUGCAGAGGGACAAGCUGAUUGUUACCUGCUUUUAGUCGUUCAUUUGAAACUGUAAGAUUCAUGUGCCAUAAGAUAGCUAGACAAGCGAGCAAAAAAUGAUGCGCCUUGCACCAAAGGUGGCAAGAGCAAUUAAAUUAAAUUCAAACCAAAAAAAGCUUGAUGCAUAAAAUGAAAAGUCAUCCUUUGAGCGAAUAAAUGACAAAGUAAGUGCAAUGAGAGUCACUAAUGUUCACGCUAGACUUAUGCCAUGACCAUUCCUUAGUCGAGAGAACGUAAGCAGCGACAUCUUCUAGAUAGUGGUUACUAGCAAUUUUAUUUUUUAUCCCCAGCCUAAUCAUAUUAUCCGAGUUAUAAGCUCAGAAAGAAGUCAAUGAGCAAUCUACCGCUAGGACCUAUGAAUGGUCAUACGAUAUUGGUUACACAUCUUGUUAGAAUAUAAUAUGCGGAAAUAAUAGGAUCUUGCAAUUUACGUCAACGCGCAAAAUUCCAGAUAAAUAAACGAGAAAUAAUAAGAAUCAUAAAUUUACGUGAUUCAGUCCGAGUAUCGAUAUUUACAUUCACAGGGAGAGCCAGCAACAAAUAGUCCAUUAUAAUAGGAAAAUCAGAAUUUACAAUCGCACACACGCUCGAUUACUUCCCACACCAAGAUUUAAGCUCAUACUCAAAGAGUUUAUAAAUAAAUAAUUCACUUGGAAAUUAUCUCGCGUUCAAGCUUUAAACUACAAAACAUUCUACGUACGCCAAAAACAAGAACUCCGGCAUUUGUCUUUUGGUUCGCGUACAUACAGAUUCGUGUUCUUCUUUGCUUGAUCGUUCGUGUGGCGCUGUUCUAGACGCUCCUUUUGUGUGGCUCUUUCUUCUUCGUAGGGCUUCAGCGACUCUUUCUAAAAGAAAAAAAAAAAAAACGUGUUCUAAUUUAUAUGUGAGCCUAGAGUCUAACAACUUUGACUUUGAGCCCCACCACGUGCUUCUUUGUUCAAUGGGAAGUGGGACGCGGUGAAGAGACCCUACCUUUUUCUUCCUCUUUCCUUUAUUUUAUAUAUAUUGUGUGCCCAAAGUUAAGACUUUGACUUUGGGCCCCACGUAGAGAGCCUUGUUCGGCUCCCGUAGAUAGAUAAAGAAGAAUCUUUGCUCCUUUUUUGUUAUUCUAUUUUAUUUUCUCUUUUAUAAACUUUCAUGGAGUCCGACGAAGCUUUUUUUUGUUGAUCGAAAAUAUCCAAGACCCAAAAAGAAUUUCGAAUUUCUUUUCUUGUGCAUAAUCUUGAAUAUUAUAUUCAUCAGAAAAUAUCUUCACGAUCAAAUAAUAAAAAAUUUAUCCAAGCAAAUUGCGUUUUGCAAAUAUUUAAAAUUGAGACAUAAUUUAACACAUCUGAUAUGAUGUACUACCCAAUUACUGUCCUCUGACAAUUUAUAUUUGAUUAAUUUAUUUCAAGAAUAUUCAUUUGUUAAACUUGUUGGCUUACAAAUCACUGUCACUAUCACGUGAUAUAUCCUAUAUUGAGAAUACUUGGGAGCAUCUAUGCUUGUUUUAUGUAUGUUAUGCUUGUGAUGCAUCUUGUUUUGAGUGGACUGUAGAACUAUUUAAGUUCAUGCCAAUUUGACUAAUUUUUUAUCUGGAUAAGUGCAUUGGAAUAUUUAAAAACUUAUCAUAAAAAUACAAUUAAGCCAUGAAACUUUGAAAUCAAGUUCUAGAACUUGUCACGUUGGUCUAAUCUAAAUCCUUCCAUUGCAUUUUUGAAAAUUUCAGUACUUAACUACAAUUUUCUAACAAGUUUUAGUAUUUCCAAUAUACAUAUUUGUCUUUCAACCUCACUAAUGUUUUUAAGCAAUAAUGAGCUUGACAUAUCUCUGAUUUCGGAAUUUCAAUGGCUAUAGGAGACAAAAGGACGUCCUCUAAUGAAUCAACAAUCUUAUGCCAUGACAAAGCUGGAAGAGAGAUGAGUGUCUUCCAUAGUUAUAAAAAAUGUUCAUGCGAUAAUCUGUAGGAAUUCGUCUUCCUGACGUGCAUGAAUAUUUCCGGCCAUGAAACAUUUCACAGUGAAGACAUUCUGUCACUUAAACUGGCAAAAGGAUAUUGAGCUUGUUCUUUUGGCGAGGGUAUUGCUAUUAAAUAUGCCAAUUAAUUCCACGACUAUUAGCAUUUGUUUAAAUAGAGCAUACAACCUAAAAUGCUCACAAUGGCAGCUGGUACUGGAUCCUCAUGUCUGCCCAUGAAAUUCUGAGUGCCUCAGACAUGGCAUAUCAUGCACACAAACAAUUCUCAACCCAGAAAUUAGUGCGUACACAACAAAAGUUAAAAAAAGAAAAAAAGAAAUGGUUUGGUUAAUGUGGAAAUUUAACAUAAUGACAAGCAUAAAAAAACUGUUCAGCAGUACAGUAGAGAGGUCAAGACCUGAGAACACUGUAUUGAGACUUAUUCAGAUGAACACUUCAGAUAGUCACUAAAAAGCUAAGGAGCAAAUUGAAUAGAGAAGGGAAAAGUGCCAAAAAAGUCCUAAAACUUUUGUCAUUGUGCCGAUUUAGUCCUAAACAUUUUUAAGUUGUGCAAAUUCAGUCCUUUCCGGCCAAUUUUGCCCGGAUUUUGCUGACUGGACGCCAGUCAGCUGACGUGGACAAUUUUUAAUAAUAUUUUAAUAUUUUAAUAUUUUAUUUUUUAUUUUUUUAUUUUUUUUAUUCUGCUCUUCUUCCUCCAGCCGGUCGCCGGACCUCGGCGACCAGCCACCUCGCCAGUGGCCGCGGGGGCGGCCUCGCGUGGGGCGGCGAGGCUCACCCUCGCCGGAUCUGGCAAGGGUCGAGCCUCGCCCAUGGCCGGCGAGGCCGCCCUCGAGGCCUGGGCUGCGAGGCUCGCCCUCGUCGGAUCUGGCGAGGGCGAGCCCCGCUAGCUUGCCGGAUCUGGAUUUGGCGAGUGAGGGGGUUUGAGCAGGGGGAGAGAGUCAGAGGGGGUAAACCGCUGGCCACCCACCUGAGCCGCGGCCGUCGGCCUACGGCCGCGCCUGGUUUCAAGCACCGAAGCUUCGGUAGGCCUCGGUCCUUUUUUGUGCCUUGCGUUGGUCGGACUAGGCCAGAGCUCGCGGUCUUCAAGGAUUCGGUUCGAGAUCUGAGGGCGUUUGAUCUGGGCGGGACUUGAGAGAGAGAGAGUCCUCUCCCGGCCAAGCCGAGGAAACCCUGGCCACGUGAGACCACCGCCACAAUGCUGCCGCCCAAUGCCGUCCACCGCUGCUCGCCGACCCGCCGCCAUAUCCAGCGAGGGCGAGCCUCGCCCGCCCCGCGCGAGGCCACCCCCACGGCCACUAGCGAGGUGGCUGGCGAGGUCGAGGUCGACCUCACCGGCCGUCACCUCUGGCCGGUCGCCGAGGUCCGACGACCGGCUGGAGGAAGAAAACCAGAAUAAAAAAAUAAAAAAAUAAAAUAAAAAAUUCAAAAAUAUUAAAAUAUUAUUAAAAGUUGUCCACAUCAGCCGGCCGGCGUCUAGUCAGCAAAAUCCGGCCAAAUUGGCCGGAAAUGACUGAAUUGGCACAACUUAAAAAGGUUUAGGACUAAAUUGGCACCAAAAAAAGGUUUAGGACUAAAUCGGCACAAUGACAAAAGGUUUAAGACUUUUUUGGCACUUUUCCCAAAUAAAGAACAAUGGUGAUGAUAAUACCUGCGGUUGAAUUUGUAGGGGGAGAGAAGUCCUAGAAACCGUCAUAAAUGCCAUAGCGAUGGAUGUUCAUGAUUAAUCUUUGAGCUUACUAUUGUGGAAAAGUAUUAGUGAUUCGCCAAAUGUAACCCAUGACCCUUCCUUAACCCAAGAACGCAUGCAGUGACAUCUUCUAGAGAGCGGCUCCUGGAAUUUUUUCCAUCCAUCCUCCCACUACCUAAUUGCAUUAUCAACCUAUUGACACAUAAACGAUGUCAAUAGGCAAUGUGCCGUUGCACCACAAGACCCACAAAUGGUCAUCUAUGUCGGUUACACCACCAAUAAUUUGUACCUGACCCUUCAUGGUCCUAUUAUUUGAUUAAUCUGUUUAAAGAACAUUCAUUUUCUUCAAACAUGCUUUCUCACGUGCCACUGUAAUAUGAUGUUUGUUGCGACCUACCUUCGGAGGGAAGGAAUAGGUUUAGGGGUAUUGGCUAAAGGACGGGCCUAAAGCCUAUAAUUAGACGCGAGCUCUCCUAAACCUAUAUCCCGCAUGACGUUAGGAUAUUCUUAAGAAAUUUUGCUCGCCACUAACCUAUUGGGGUCGGCUAGAAACCAAGUGAGGCAUGGGAGCGUGCCUCACUUUCUACGCAACCAGAGAAUCUGGGUUCGAGGACUUAAUUACACUAAUUAACUAAUUAGUACCCUUUCGAUACCUAAUCUUGUUCAUUUUAACAAAAUGAUUUUUGGCAGGCAGUUUGAAUUGAUUUUAUACUUAUCCACUGACAUAUGAUCAUGCAGAUGCGCAAUCAUUUAAAAUAAUAAUCAUAACUACCAAGAUCCUAAUUAUAGUAAAAUUAACUCAUGCAACUAAACAAUCGCAGACACAGUCGAAUAUGUAAGUUAAACAUGCAAUAUAAUCAAAAUACGAACAAAUAAAUACCGAAUUACACAAAGAAGGGCAAUACACAACAAUUCCUAAUCAAACCCUAUAUUUUUGGAUUUACGAAUUUUUUUAUAUAUAUAUUUUUUAAAUUUAAUAAUUUUGUUUUUUUAAAUAAAUUAAAUUUUCUUUUUAAAGAAAGAUUUUUUUUUAUGUUUUCUGGAUUUUUUAAUUUUCGGAAAUUUUUUGAUUUUUGAUUUUUUUUUUUGAAUUUUUAUAUUUUUAAUAUUUAAUAUUAUUAUAAUCAGGAAAACGGGUCCGACUGGGUAGAUCCGAUGCGGCCAUUGACCCGACCCAAAACCAGAUUCGACUCUAUCGGAUUGAAAGAGAAAAUAAGAUUUUUAAUUAAUUUUUUUAGUUUUUAAACACUUUUUCUGUUUUUUCCUUCUCCUCCUUUUUUGGCCUCCUCCAUGUCUUGUCUUUUCCCUGCAGUCUUCUCAUCCUCGCCGCCUUCACCGAAGAUCCGCCCCCCACAUCUUUUCCACAUUUCUAUUCUUUUUUUUCUUUUUUUUCUUUUCACCACCCUUUUAUUUCUUUUAUUUCUUGUUUUUCUUCUAAGCUUUUCUUUUAAGUUGUCUUCUCUGCAUGCUUUCUUCUCCGCUCGAAGCUUCCAUUAAACACCCGAAACCCCCUCUGCCAUUUCAUACUUUUCUUUUAUUAUUUAUUAUUUUGCCUUUUUAUAUUUCUUUUUCUUUAUUUUUCAUUUUUUUUCUCUCUUUUUGUCCUUUUCCCUAUUUCGGCUAUUCUACUGCAUCUUCUCCUUCCGAAAGCUAACGCCAAUUCUGCAACUUCCUCGCCGAAGCUCCUUCCCACCGAAUCUCAUCCGCACACUAACGACACGGCCCUGAACAAUCGGUGACCCUUCCAUCGCCCGUCCACCGGUAGUCGCUACCCCACGGAAAGAUGAACAGGCGCAAAAGAACAACAAGAAGACAAGGAAUGGAACACGGGUCCCUAAGAUAUUAAGGAACUACGUCAACAUCAAGAAAUGUUCAGAUUCAGCCAUAACAACAACAAAACCUAAACGAAAUCAUGCUCAAUGAUCCAUAAAGGAUUCCUUUUACGCAAGACCGGAGCAUACUCAUUCCAAAUGAUCCGAAAUUCACGACCUAAUCCGCGUUAACUUAGUUCAAGCGUUUUAUCAAACACGUGGUAAGCACUGACUCGGGAUGAGGUUAUUAACUCCUCUUUGGACCCGCUCGAGUCUAGACCCAGAGAAAUCAUCAAGAAACAUGCAAAAUCGACCACAUCAACUUACUCAAACUCAGCGUGCAUAUGGGCUGACAAAAGGAACAAGACAUGGCUUCCGGUUAGACCAAAACAAGGUGGAGCAGCAAGGGUUCAUGCGAACAAGCAUCUCAUCACGGAGUUCCCUACCCAACUCGAAGACGGCAGGAAGCGGGCCAACUCGCGACAAAUCGAGCUAUAGCUCGCCGCUUUGGUAUCUUCGAGCUGGGACCCUAAUCGAAAUGCAUCCAUUUGUCUCAUGCACUAUGGGGAUCCUCGGGCAAGAGAGGUUUGAACCGAGUAAAGAAACUCACCAGCGACGCCGAGAUUCGGGGGCGAAAGAUCGUAUGCUAGAGGAUAUUGGCCAGAGGUCGUCGAAGACGGUUCGAGCGUGGCCGACCUGCUACAAAACUUCUCCCUCGCUUUUGUGCUGGUGUUUUCUCCGUUGCUCCUUCUGCCAAGCCCCCCGCUCCCUCUGUUCUUCUCCUGUUUUCUUUUAAAACUGCCGUUGGUUCAUUUCCCUUUGCCUCCGUCCAAAAUGCCUUUUGCUAGUCCACGAAGCCAGCUCUCUUUCUUUUCCAUCUUCAGCUCUAAUUUUCCUCGGUCAGUCCAGCCUCCUUGCCUCUAUGUAUGCCUGCAGCCGGUCUUCUCCUUGGGACCGAGUUCGGUCUAUUUUCAGCUACAACGGCUGCUGGUUUUCUUGGGCUUCGUCAACUGCAGGCGCUGCCACGCUGCAGCCAAGCUUUCAUUGCUUCCAUUUUUCUGAAAUCGCACUUGCCGAUCCUCUGCAGAUCCUUCUUCGGCUUCCUCCUGUUCUGUCUUCUACAGGUCCUGCGCGAAGAUUGGAGGAGGGAGAAGGAUGGGGCGCGGGCUGGGCCGACGGGGGGAAAGGAGGCUGGGCCGCGGGGGGAAAAGAAAUAUAAAAAAAAAAAAAAAUUCUUGAUUUUUUUAUUGACUUUUCGAUUGAUUUUUUUUUUUUUUGUAAAAAUAGGUAUCAACAAUGUUUUUGAUACACAAAAUACUAUCUCUUCAAGAGCUUUGACUCCUAUAUACUUGGGGCAUUAAAUUUUUUUAGCAACAAUGAGCUUGGCAUAUCUCUGUUUUCGGGAUUUCAGUUGCUAAGGGAAACAAAAAGGACGACCUCUAAUGAAUCGACAGUAUUUUGCUAUAACAAACUUGGAAGAGAGAUGAGUGUCUUACGUAGUUACAAAAAAAUGAUCAUGCAAUAGUUGGUAGAAAUUUACUCUGCUGACAUGCAUGAACAUUCUGAAAAAAAAACGGAAAACGUGCAUGAAUAUUUCCGGCCAGAAAGCAUUCACGAGGAGCUGAGAGACACUAUUUCUUAAAGCAGCAAAAUGAUUACAAGUUUGUUCUUUUAGGGAGUGGAAUGAAUAAAUUGUACAAAAAAUCCUAAACUUAUUGUCCGAUCACUAAUUUAAUUCUGAACUUUUUAAUUUGAUCAAUGUUGUCUAAAACUUUUGACAAUUUUUUGUAGUCCACCUAGUUAAAUUUAGGUCAAAAAUCAGUGACAGAGCAAUUUAGUAAACACUAACCGUUUUAAGUGAUACAACUGAUAGCUUAUAUAGAUGACUUAAAUGAGGUAGCGUCAUUUCACAAUUUUUUUUUUAAUAUUCUUUCUUUUCUUCUCUUUUAGUAAUUUUUUUCCUAUUCUUUCGUUCUCUAGUGUUCUUUUUCUUCCCUCUACUGGUGGCCGAUGCCUCAGCAAUGACCAGGGACCAUCAUAGGCUACAAGUGAGGGCAUUGAGCAAGACUUACAAGCCUUCUCCUAGAUUUGUGCAAGGGCCCUAUAGGCCCUCACUGGCCAUAGGCAAUUGGGGACUUGCAAGCCCUUGCCUAGAUCUACCCUCGCAUGGGGUCAAUGUUUACCAUCACCAAGGCCUCAAUGUCUUGCUCAAGAAAGAAAAUGAACAGCAGAGAAGGAGAUGAUAGGAAAAGAAAGAAAAAAGAAAAAAAGAGGAAAGGAAAAAAGGGAAAAAAUCUGAAAUAAUAACAAAAAAUUGCAAAAUGACGUUUCAUUUAAGAUCAUCCAUGUCAAUUGCGAAUCAUGCAACGUGGCCUACCUUGUUGGAUGCAGUAGAUUUAGGAUAUUUUGAAUAUUUUUCUCUUGUUAAAUAUGCCUGAUUUAUUUGAUAUCCUAAAAUUUGUCAACUUUGUGAAAUCAAGUUCUAAAAUUUGUUGGCAUUUUUUUCAUAUUGGAUGAAGUUAAUGAAAUGACUUGAUUACAACUACUUGAUAAGUUUUAUAACUUGAUUGUAAUUUUUGAAAAUUGUAGGACUCAGUUGCAUCUCUGUAAUAAGUUUUAAAACUUGAUUACACUAUAUGUAAUAAAUUUUAAGAUUUUCAGUAUAUUUAUCUCUAAAAUAAAUAAAUAAAUAGGGCCUACCCCCUUUACAUGAACUCUUUAAUUUAAACGCACCAUGGAAUUUCCUGUCCUUUUACACUGUUUCAUUAACUAAGAAAUUUUUUUUUUUUUGGGGUUAAAACCAAGAUUUAAUUCUUUCUUUUUUUUUUCUUUUGGACGAGCCAAGAUUUAGUUCAAAGAUAGAUAUUUCCAGGAGAAAAAAUUUCAGCAAACUAUGCAAGGAUUUGCAAAAGAUCGCAACAAUAUUACCGGAAGCAUAUAAUUAUUUAUCACUGACAAAUGAUAUAGUAAAAAUUCUUUUAGUAGUUUACCUUAAGUUUAGCAAGAUCUGCUUAUUCGGCAGCCUUGAGUUUCUUCGAUUCCUUCUCUCUUGCCUUCAAACAGAUAUAGAAAUGCAAUGCAGAAUAUCAAGACAAAUUGCCAUUGACAAAGCUGUAAAAGCCUACUCAAUCGAGCAAAACUGGGACAGUUUUUCCAGUGAUCUUGACCACCUCCGCAGCAUGCCGUGGAAAUAGAUAGGAACACAUGCAGAGGGACAAGCUGAUUAUUACUUGCUUUUAGUCAAGCAUUCGAAACUGUAAGAUUCAUGCACUAUAAGAUAGCCAGACAAGCGAAAAAAUGAUGGGCAUUUCAGUUGAGGUGUCAAGAGCAAUUAGAUUGAAUUCAAACCAAAUAAAGCUUGACGCAGAAAAGAGAAAUGUUGUGCAUUGAGCGAAUAUAUGACAAAAUAAGUGCAAAGAGAGUCAUGGAUGUUCUAGCGCUUUGGCCAAUUGAGUUCUUAAAAUUUUACUUUGCUUAAUUGAAUCCUCAGCAUUUUCAAUUUCAGUCAAUUGAGUCCCUCAACCUUGAUCCUCGGAAAUAGUCACAUGGCUAUGAUUUUCCAAGUUGAUAAGAAGAUGCUCGAGAAGACAAGCGGGUAGGAGGUGAAAUGGGACCUAAGUGUAAGUUUUACUAUUUCAAUAACUACAACUGAUCUGACAGAAGAUUGAACUUUCAUGGAUCUGGCACUUCGUUUGAAGCUAUACAAACAGAAAUCAGCGGGCUCAAGAACCCAAUCUUUUAGAUAGUUUCUGAAUUAUCACACAGAAAAGCACUAGGAUAUCUUUACGCAUUCACUUAUUUCCUCUGUAAACUCACAGUUAUUAAAGUAUAUUAGGCAUCAUUUAUUUGUAGUACAUUAGGUACAGAUGUCCUCUCUUUGAGAUUCCCUCUUUUCCUCUUCUUACGAUCAGCUUUGCCAGAAGAUGUUUCCAACUUCCGACAUUGAUGAUGUCAUUUCAAGGAAUUCUCAAUGUUGAUCACAAAUCAGUACUUAACAUCUCUCUUGAUGAGCCCCUCAAGGGCUUCAUAGGCAUAAUCGAUUGGUAUCACUUCGAUUUCUUGGUAUAUGUGCUGUGCCGCACAGAGGUCUACCAUUUCUUGGAUAUACUUCAUUCCUCCAAUAGCGCUACCCAAAACUGUUUUCAAAACUGCAAAAAGUUCACUGUGAGCAACUUAGUUGGUUCGCCUAUCAUGUAUCAAUAUUUCAUUCAGUAAUGAGCUUUGAGAACAAAAACAUACCAAGGUUAAGGCUUGCCGCACUGAAUGUAAUUUCGCUUUGGGACGCAACCAAUGCUAGAACCCAUCUUCAAAAGAGACAUGUAAGGAUCAAAUAGGUGAUUAGCAGAUGCCGUGUCAAUUAUAAAGUCCAUGGACUUAGCCAUGGCCUGCAUGUAUUGGAAUCAUCAGAUCACGGCAGCACUUGACCUCCAUGGAUCCAAAGUAUUGAUAAUUCCAAAUCUUCCCAUUUGCCUUCAUCUGAAAUGGUCAGCACCAAGCAAGCUCAGUGCUUCCUCCUUUUUAGAAAUGCUUGUACUAAACACAGCGACUUUCAGUCUAAAAGCCUUCCCAAGUUUAAUUGCCACGUGACCGAGCCCACCGAGUCCAAUUACGCCGAGAGACUUACCCGGUUGGUUCAUCUUGUGACGCACCAUUUGAGUGUAUACUGUGAUUCCAGCACAGGGCAAUGGUGCUGCUAAAGCCAAUGGGUAGUUUUCUGGAAUCCUGAAGCAGUACCUGUCAAUGAAGCACCACAAUUAAGUUUCCAAAUCACACCAAAGGAGUAAGGGAUUUCCCAAUAGAAUCAGCAUCCCAUCUUUUUUGUAUAACAGGAUUCAAAUCACAUUUUACUUGCUUAGAGCACAAUUCAGCAUCAUGUGGUUUCUGUGAUUCUUUUUCUGACCACAAAUUGCUUAAGACGAAAACUUCUUGUUGUAGCGACGAAAGUAAAGCCACUGCAACAUAUAGGAGGCCAUACUCGAUCAAAAUUGAGAAAAGAGGCUUGCUCUUAACAGAGGACACUGGAAGCAUAUUGCAUGUGCAUGACAGAUCAUGUAAUUUCUCUAUUCCCCUCAAUCAUGUCUCUAAGGGACACGAUAUUCCCGCGACUGUUGGAUACAAGAAUUCGUGAAAGCACGUAAAUUUUAUUACCCAUUUGAUCUAACACUUACUAUCUAACUCUUGGAAACAAUCUACAAAAAAGGGAGGAAGAGGAGACAGAAGGCGAGAAUUGAGCAAUUUCCAUCUCUCUCUCUUUUAAUUAAGGGUUAAUAUCCUAAAAAAUCCCAAACCGGUACACGUGACAAAUUUACCCCGAUGGACUAUAAAAAAAACCCUAAACUUAUAUAUUUAUGACAAAUUUACCCCAAACUAAUUUAUUCGACGGCAAAAAACCCGAAAAUGGUAAAUUUGUGACAAAUAUACCAUCUGCUAAACUGAAUUAAUAUCACAAAAAAAUCACAAAAAUUGUAAACUGUGACAAACGGGGCGUAAAAUUUCAAAUUGGUAUACUAGUCAACUGUCACGUGUCAUUUAACUUAAUAAUUUGACAGUAAAAUUUAACGAAAACUAACAGAGGGUAAAUUUGUCACAAGUAUAACAGUUUAGGGUAAAUUUGUCAAAUGUAUACCAGUUAGGAGUUUUUGGUGGUUAAAAAAAUAGUUUGGAGUAAAUUUGUCACAUGUGUAUCAAUUUUGGGUUUUUUAGGAUAUUAACCAUUUAAUUAAUUUAGUUUUCAAUUUUAUUUUAUUAAUUUUUCAUGAAAAAAUCAUAUAUUAGAUUUAUUGGCUCACAUGUCAUUGUCACUUGAUGUGUAUGAUAUAUAGAAUAGUCCAAGAAAUUUGACUUUAGAUACUUGGGAACCCGUGAAUGGUCAUACAUUGUCGGUUACACAUUCAACAUGAUGUAUUAGCUAAUCAUAGUCCUCUAACGGUUUAUAUUUGCUUAAUAUAUUUCAAGAAUAUUCAUUUGUUAGACUUGUCUGCUCACACGCCACUGUCACUUGAUGUAUAUGAUAUGCAGAAUAGUCUAAGAGCUUUGACUUUAGAUACUUGGGAGUGUCUAUGCUUGUUUUAUGUCUGUUAUGCUUGCAAUGCUUCUUGUUUUGAGUGGACAGUACAAAUAUUUAAGUCCGUGUCAAUUUGAACAAUUUUCUUUAUUAUAGAGCAACAAUCUUUAAUCUAUUGUGUUCUUGACCACAAAAAACCAAAUAACAAAUAAGUAUAAACUAUUGUAGGGUCCAACGACAAUCUUUAAUCUAUUGUGUUCUUGACCACAAAAAAUCAAAUAAUAAAUAAGUAUACACUAUUAUAAGGCCCACUCCUUUAAAAAUUUGUUGCUCACAACAACUUAUUUAUUCUCAUAAUAACCCAAAGUUAUGCUAGCAAAGCUCUUUUUAGUAAGUGUAUUGAAAGUUUUAAAAACUUGUCACUAAAGUGCAUUGAGUCCUAAAAUUUUCAAAAAAAUGCAAUUUAAUCUUAAAAUUUGUCAUGAAAUGCAACUGAGUCUUAAAAUUUUCAAAAAGUACAAUCAAUUAUAAAGAUUUAUCAAAAUUGGUCCAAUUUAAGUCAUUCCAUUGAUUGUAAUUUUUGAAAGUUUUAGAGCUCAACUAUGCUUUCCUAACAAAUUUUAGGACUUAAUUAUACUUUUUGAAAAUUUUAGAACUUAACUGUAAUUUAUGAUAAGUUUUAGGAUUUUUAGUAUACUUAUCUUUUUUUUUUUUUUCACCUCAUUAAUCUUUUUAGCAACAAUGAGCUUGACAUGUCUCUGUUUUCAAGAUUUCAGUGGCUAGGGAAAACAAAAGGGAUGUCCUCUAAUGAAUCAACAAUCUUCCUGCCAUGACAAUGCCGGAAGAGAGAUGAGUGUCCUACAUAUUUAUCAAAAAUGUUCAUGUUAUAAUUGGUAGGCAUUCACUCUGCCAACGUGCAUGAACAUUUCCGGAGAUGAAACAUUCGUGAGGAGCCAGUAAAGACAUCCUGCUAUUUAAACCGGCAAAGGGAUAUCAAGCUUGCUCUAUUGGCAAGUAUAUUGUCGUCAGAUCAGCCUAAUUAAUCCGAUAUUUUUUCAUACAAAAAAUCGUCAUCGAGGCCAACUUAAUCCAAAAUGCCAAUGGACAGGCUUUGGUAAGCUAGUGGAUAGGUAUGCCGCUUUAUCUUAUGUCGUGCUAUCUCACGAGAGAUGGUGCUGCGUUCUCUUUAGAAUGCACAUGACUUGGGAUAGGAAAACCUUAGGAUCCGACUAGGAGGAAGGAAAAAAGCAAUCUAUUGUCGGGCCAAUACAAGAUCAUUUCAUGUCAAACUCCGCAGUCUUGAGGCCAUGGAAUCUACGACAAACUUGCUCAUUCACAAGGACUGAGCAAAUAAAUGAUAAAAUAAGAGCAAUAGUCGUCAUUGAUCGUCUACCCUUUGAUUGAUUGGAUUCUAAAUAUUUUAUUUUCAAUUGGGGUCUAAAUAUUUUAUUUGAUUCAAUUGACUUCUAAACAUUUCCAAUUUUAGUCAAUCAAGUCCCUCGAAUAUUAACCGCGGAAAGAGGCACAUGGCUGUGAUUUUACAAGUGGCUAAGGAGAUGCUUGAGGAGAAAACCUGUUAGGAGAGGCGAAACCAUUCCAGCAGAACUCUCAAGAAGCCAAUUUUUCAGACAGUUUCUCAAUCAUCACAUAGAAAAGUACCAGGAUUUCAUUACCCAUUUCACUUAUUUCUGCUAUAAAACUCACGAGUAUCGAAGUAUAUCAGGCAUAGUUUAUUUGUACUCCAGCAGAACAACUAAAAAGGCACAGAUAAUGCUCUCCUCUAGCUGAAACUCCCACUUUUCCUCUCUGUGUGAUCAGCUUUGCCAGCAACAAUUUCCAACUACCCAAAUUGAUGUUGAAAUUUAAUCAAAUAGACUCAGAGAAGAAAACCCGCAAGAGAAUUGUUGCUGUAACUUUCGUUAAGAAAACCCACACGAGAAUUGUUGCUGUAACUUUCGUUAUUUUAUUCAUCAGAACAUAAGCCUAUUAAAUAGGCAGAACAUCCAAACCACUUAGCAAGAAAAUAGCUAUAGAACAACAACAACAAAGACCCACUAACAUACCCCACUAACCAGAACAUAUGCAGAAACUAACUCCUAAAAACAAGCCACUUCCUAUUGACUAGGACUCCACUAUUACAUUAUUGAAGACACAUAAAAACAAAGUUAACUACUUCAACAAUUGAUGGUGUCACUUCAAGGAGUUCUCAAUGUCGAUCACGAAUCGAUACUUAACAUCUCUCUUGAUGAGCCUCUCCAGAGCUUCGUUGGCAUAAUCGAUCGGUAUCACUUCGAUGUUUGGGUAUAUCUUCUGUGCUGCACACAGGUCUAUCAUUUCUUGGGUAUCCUUUGUUCCUCCCGUUACGCUACCUGAAACAGUUCUCAUAUCUGCCAAAAGUUCACCGCAAGCAACUUAGUUCACCUAUCAGGUAUAAAAUUUCAUUUAGUAAUCAGAUUUGAGAACAAAAACAUACUGAGGUUAAGGCUGGCUGGACUGAAUUUAACUUCGCUCAGGAAGCCGACCAAUGCUAGAAUGCCACCCGUCUUCAAAAGAGACAUGUAAGGAUCAAAUGGGUGAUCACCGGCUGCCGUGUCGAUUAUAAAGUCCAGGGACUUAGCAAUGGCCUGCAUGCAUUGGAUUUAUCAGAUCACAACAGAAUUUGACCACCAUGGAUCUCAAUGUGGAUAAUUCUAGUUUUUCCUCUUUUUACCUUCAUCUGCUCUAGGUCAGAUGAGAUAACGAAAUGGUCAGCCCCAAGCAGGCUCAGUGCUUCCUCCUUUUUAGAAAUGCUUGUACUGAACACUGUGACUUUCAGUCCAAAAGCCUUCCCAAACUUAACUGCCAUAUGACCGAGCCCGCCAAGUCCAAUUACACCUAGAGACUUACCAGGUUGGUUCAUCUUGUGACGUAUCAUUGGAGUGUACACCGUGAUUCCAGCACAGAGCAAUGGCGCUGCUAGAUCCAUCGGGUAGUUUUCUGGAAUCCUGAAGCAAUACCUGUCAAUGAAGCACCACAAUUAAGUUUCCAAAUAACACCAAGAGAGGAAGUGAUUUCCCAAUAGAAUCAGCAUCUUGUCUUUGUUGUCUAAAAGGAAUCAAAUCACAGAGCCAGAAAUCCUAUCUUCUGCAUGCUUGGGAAUUUUACUUGCUUAGACCACAAUUCAGCAUCAUGUUGUUUCUGUGAUCCUUGUUCUGACCACAAAUUGCUCUAGACAAACAUUUCUUGCUGUAGCAAUGUAAAUAAAGCAAUUGCAGAAUACAGGAGGCCACACUCGAUUAAAAUUAAGAAAAGACACUUGCUCUAAGAAAGGAAACUGGUGGCAUAUCACAUAUGCUUGACUGAACACGUAAUUUCUCUAUUUCCUUCAAUCAAUUUCUCCAAGGGACACAAGAUUCCUGUGGCUCUAUCAGAUACAAGAAUUAGUGAAAGCACAUACAUUUAGCUACCCAUUUGAUCUGAUACUUAUGAUCUAACUCUAACAAUCUAAGGACAGCUUAUUCCAUUCCUGACAAUGGUUAUUGAAAAGAAAGAAUUUCUUUUUGCAUUUAAUAAAGCCAAUUCUCCAUUGAAUGGUUUGAAUGGUAAUUAGAUACAAAGGACUUAAAGACUCUCCAGAGCCGUUAUAGAAAGUAUCUUUAUCCCUUUCCACAAGAUGCAAUUAAUACCUAAAAGCCAUUCCUCACAGUCCUAUGCAUUAUGCCACUUCUGGUCACAAUCAGAAAUUCAGAAUACAAAGAAAAUUAGCAGAGAAGAAGACAUGACAUGAAAUCUUUUUUUGGCCACCAUGAUUUGGAAUUCUGUCACAGUGCAAAAUGCUGCCUAAUAACGCUG
rnacentral:lncRNA from 1 species